AGCGAACGCUGGCGGCAGGCCUAACACAUGCAAGUCGAACGAAGUCUUCGGACUUAGUGGCGGACGGGUGAGUAACACGUGGGAACGUGCCUUUAGGUUCGGAAUAACUCUGGGAAACUUGUGCUAAUACCGAAUGUGCCCUUCGGGGGAAAGAUUUAUCGCCUUUAGAGCGGCCCGCGUCUGAUUAGCUAGUUGGUGAGGUAAAGGCUCACCAAGGCGACGAUCAGUAGCUGGUCUGAGAGGAUGAUCAGCCACAUUGGGACUGAGACACGGCCCAAACUCCUACGGGAGGCAGCAGUGGGGAGUCUUGCGCAAUGGGCGAAAGCCUGACGCAGCCAUGCCGCGUGAAUGAUGAAGGUCUUAGGAUUGUAAAAUUCUUUCACCGGGGACGAUAAUGACGGUACCCGGAGAAGAAGCCCCGGCUAACUUCGUGCCAGCCGCCGCCGUAAUAC
rnacentral:rRNA from 1 species